UACGUAGGAUGCAAGCGUUGUCCGGAAUUACUGGGCGUAAAGGGCUCGUAGGCGGUCUGUUGCGUCAGGAGUGAAAACUCGGGGCUUAACCCCGAGCCUGCUUCUGAUACGGGCAGACUAGAGGUAUGCAGGGGAGAACGGAAUUCCUGGUGUAGCGGUGAAAUGCGCAGAUAUCAGGAGGAACACCGGUGGCGAAGGCGGUUCUCUGGGCAUUACCUGACGCUGAGGAGCGAAAGUGUGGGGAGCGAACAGG
rnacentral:rRNA from 1 species